GACAGAGGGUGCAAACGUUGUUCGGAAUUACUGGGCGUAAAGCGCGUGUAGGCUGCUUGGAAAGUCGGGUGUGAAAGCCCUGGGCUCAACCCAGGAGGUGCACUCGAAACUUCCGAGCUUGAGUUCUGGAGAGGAAGGCGGAAUUCUCGGUGUAGAGGUGAAAUUCGUAGAUAUCGAGAGGAACACCGGUGGCGAAGGCGGCCUUCUGGACAGUGACUGACGCUGAGACGCGAAAGCGUGGGGAGCAAACAGG
rnacentral:rRNA from 1 species